GCGCUCGUAGCUCAGUGGAUAGAGUAUUGGCCUCCGAAGCCAAGGGUCACUGGUUCGAUUCCAGUCGAGCGCGCCA
rnacentral:tRNA from 1 species